GGGAAUUUUGGACAAUGGGGGCAACCCUGAUCCAGCCAUCCCGCGUGUGCGAUGAAGGCCUUCGGGUUGUAAAGCACUUUUGGCAGGGAAGAAACAGCCUGGGCUAAUAUCCCGGGCGACUGACGGUACCUGCAGAAUAAGCACCGGCUAACUACGUGCCAGCAGCCGCGGUAAUACGUAGGGUGCAAGCGUUAAUCGGAAUUACUGGGCGUAAAGCGUGCGCAGGCGGUUCGGAAAGAAAGGUGUGAAAUCCCAGGGCUUAACCUUGGAACUGCACUUUUAACUACCGGGCUAGUGUACGUCAGAGGGGGGUAGAAUUCCACGUGUAGCAGUGAAAUGCGUAGAGAUGUGGAGGAAUACCGAUGGCGAAGGCAGCCCCCUGGGAUGAUACUGACGCUCAUGCACGAAAGCGUGGGGAGCAAACA
rnacentral:rRNA from 1 species